rnacentral:rRNA from 1 species
GAUGAACGCUAGCGGCAGGCCUAAUACAUGCAAGUCGGACGGGAUUCAGGAGCUUGCUUCUGAUGAGAGUGGCGCACGGGUGCGUAACACGUAUGUAACCUACCUUUAUCAGGGGGAUAGCCUCUCGAAAGAGAGAUUAAGCCCGCAUAAAAUCACAGCACAGCAUUGUGUAAUGAUCAAAUAUUUAUAGGAUAAAGAUGGGCAUGCAGAACAUUAGCUAGAUGGCGGGGUAACGGCCCACCAUGGCGACGAUGUUUAGGGGAUCUGAGAGGAUGGCCCCCCACACUGGUACUGAGACACGGACCAGACUCCUACGGGAGGCAGCAGUAAGGAAUAUUGGUCAAUGGGCGGAAGCCUGAACCAGCCAUGCCGCGUGCAGGAAGACGGCCCUACGGGUUGUAAACUGCUUUUAUACGGGAAUAAACCCAGAUACGUGUAUCUGGCUGAAUGUACUGUAAGAAUAAGGAUCGGCUAACUCCGUG